ACCCGUCAAUUGGCUCACUGCAUUCUCCCGGAGUACAUAGGUAGGACCUGUCUGCCAAAGUUGAUCCUCGUGUGUCCGUGUUACCGAAAUCCGUGAAUUCGCCCCAACGACGGUGCCAUUCGCGUGCUGAUUGCUGUCCGGGUGUGUGUGUUUUGUGUGGAAAAGUUACUACUGUCCUCCGAAAACGGUAAAGGAUUCCGCAAGGAACCGUCGAAAAAGGAUUGGUUUGUGCCGUGCCGUUUCGACCUCGUUCAUAUUUUUCUGCUAUUGCUGCUGCUAAAGGGUGGUGAAUGGUGCCUACCCUAUUUGCCAUCUCCUCCCCGCCGCCAGUAGUGUGUUUGAACCGUAAAGGAAAAUUCCAAUAGUGUGACAGCAGCAGAAAUCGUGGCGAGUGCUGCAAACAUCGGAAUAUAAACGAAGGAAUCCAGUUUGUGCAAAAAGAAAUCCCUCCUCUACCGCAGUGUGUAGGUGCUGCUCCCAGCUGAAAGUUUUUUCCCACACCCUAAUUUUUUUUUUCGGGAAAAUUUGUGUCGAGCAGCAGUGUGCUGCUGCUGCAGUGAAGUGAAGAAACGACGGUGCGGAAGGAUACAUAGCGGACCAUCGGGAAAGGUCAACUCCUCGAAAAUCAUAAGGCGGCUGAAUUCGAGAAUCGUGCAAAACAAAAAAAGAAAAAACAUCCGCGAAUAUUGAGGGCGAGUCGCCGCGUGUGUGUUUUGGGGUUCGCGAAAAAAAAAGUGUGACGUGAUUGUCGUCACGCCUCACGGAGAGGCUGGCUAAAGUUUAACUAGCAAUUGGCUGGGAUGUGAUUGUGCCAGAAGAAGAAUUCGUGUGUUCCUGUUUUUGGGUGCAGUAAAACAACCCCCGGGUCAGAGGAGGAUAGAGCCUAUCGUCAGUAGGAACGGCGCCCGCUCCGAAGGAGCUUUCAUUUGUUUCGUUAUUCAAGUCCAAAGUUCAGCGCUUAAUUCAAUUUCUGCAAAGCAAAAAGAAGAGUACGCUUCUUAUAUACCGAGAAAACAGAACAUAGCAGAUCCAUCCUUCCAUCCCAACUGAUAGCACCACCAAGUUCUGCAGCAAAAGAAACCAUCGGUAGUGAAAACUGUGUGCGUUCAAUCCGAGCGAUAGUGAACCGAGAAAAGAAAGAAAAGUGCCACAAAGUUAACAGUUAAGGUGCCCCCUCUUUGGUGCGACGGUGCUCCGUCUGACUGUCGGUUUCAUUCGUCAUUCAGCCGCGCUCGUUCCGUUCCGAGCUCAGCUGUGUGAGCCUAAAAGAUGGCCUGGGGUUACUGGAGUGCGACGGCCGUCGAUCGGGGAAGGUCCCCGCGGCGAAACACCCAACAGCCACAGCCGCCGCUUCCCUAUCAGAACCAUCAGAACCACCAGAACCAUCAGAGCUACCAGCAGUAUAAUCCAAUGGUGGUCCAAUCCCAGCACCAGGCGUCAGCCCAGUGUCUCAACAGUUGUCCACAGGCGGCGGCCGAUCCAUCGCCACCGCCACUUCCGCCGCAACCGCUUCCGCAACAACAGCAACCACAACAUCAACAGCAAGCCUGCAUCAGUCCGUGCCACAGUCCUUGCCACAGUCCGCAGUUCAUCGAGCAACUACCGCCGGAUCUGCCCUGCACUCCCGUCUGCACGUACUCACGUAGACAGUCACUUGAUAGUCCACAGGCCAACCAUCUCUCGGACAUCAUCUGCCGGGCAACCGUUCCCUCGAUCCAAUCGGCCGGGAAUACACUAACGCGGGGAACCUCUCUGCGCGAUACGGGCGACUAUGCGGUACCUCAUCCCCAUCCGCACACGCACCACUACAUGACGACCUCGGAUACACCGCGGACGCUGAGCCGGGUGGGUUCGUGUCCCGGUUCGACGGGCGGAUCCGGAUCGGCGCACGGGUCCGGAUCCGGAUCCAGUCCGGGCGGUGGACCGGGUAGCAGUGGUGGGGGUGGUGGAGGACGGGGCAGCAUCGGUGGCGGUAGUGUGGGGAUGAUGUGCGGUGCCAGCCUGCACGGUGGCAGCCAGGGCGGUGGGCUGGAGUACGUGGAGUGUUCACACUACGACCGGAUGCCGCUUCCGAUACCGGUGCAGAUACCGAUAGUGCCACCGCCGCCGCCGCAGCUUUGCUCCGAGGAGGAAAUCGAGCCGGCUUAUGCGACAGUUUUCCCAAAUGCUCCGUCGGCUCCGGGGAUGUCCUGCGUCGGAGAAGAUCGCAGCAUCUACCGAAGAGGUGCCAGGAGAUGGCGCAAGUUGUACCGGAUAAAUGGGCACAUCUUCCAGGCGAAACGAUUCAAUCGGAAAGCCUUCUGCGCGUUCUGUCACGACCGCAUCUGGGGCCUCGGCCGGCAGGGCUUCAAGUGCAUCCAGUGUAAGCUGCUGGUGCACAAAAAGUGCCACAAACUUGGCAACAAACCGUGCAGCAACGAACACGUGGAACCGGUAUUCAAGGAGCGUGAUCAUCAGGAUCCGAACGACGAAUCAAACGCCGGUGAUGUGAUUCAACCCCCGCAGGAUUAUCCGCAAGACUAUCACCAUGGGGUGGAUCCGUGCGAUCAGGUUCCGGUGGAGGCACCCGAGAACGUGGAAGAACCACUGGAACCGGGCACUCAGCGGCAGUACUCGCUCAACGAUUUCGAACUCAUUCGGGUCAUCGGUCGCGGUAGCUAUGCCAAGGUGCUGAUGGUCGAGCUGCGAAAAACUCGCCGAAUCUACGCGAUGAAGGUGAUCAAGAAGGCACUGGUCACCGACGACGAGGACAUCGACUGGGUGCAAACGGAGAAGCACGUCUUCGAGACGGCCUCCAACCAUCCGUUCCUGGUGGGAUUGCAUUCGUGCUUCCAGACGCCUUCCAGGCUCUUUUUCGUGAUCGAAUUCGUCCGGGGCGGUGACCUGAUGUUCCACAUGCAACGCCAGCGGCGUCUGCCGGAGGAACACGCACGGUUCUACGCGGCCGAGAUCAGCUUGGCGCUGAACUUCCUGCACGAGAAGGGCAUCAUCUAUCGGGACUUGAAGCUGGACAAUGUGCUGCUGGAUCACGAGGGUCACAUCAAGCUGACCGAUUACGGGAUGUGCAAGGAGGGCAUCAGACCGGGCGAUUCGACGUCGACGUUCUGUGGCACGCCGAACUACAUUGCGCCGGAGAUUCUGCGCGGGGAGGAUUACGGCUUCUCCGUCGAUUGGUGGGCGCUCGGUGUUUUGCUGUACGAGAUGUUGGCUGGUCGCAGUCCCUUCGACAUCGCCGGUGCUUCCGAAAAUCCCGAUCAGAACACCGAGGACUACCUGUUCCAGGUGAUACUGGAGCGGACCAUUCGUAUUCCCCGGUCGCUCAGCGUGAAGGCGGCUUCCGUGCUGCGAGGUUUCCUGAACAAGAAUCCGGCCGAUCGGCUCGGGUGUAACCGCGAGUCCGCCUUCAUGGAUAUUGUCAAUCAUCCGUUCUUCAAAAGCAUCGACUGGGAGAUGCUCGCUCAGAAAGAGGUCACACCGCCCUACAUCCCGUCAUUCGAUGGGUGCGAUCAGGACAUAACCUGUCACUUCGAUCCCCAGUUCACACUGGAACCGGCCGAGCUGACACCGGACGAUCAUCGCGUUAUUGACAAUAUUGACCAGAGCGAAUUCGAGGGUUUCGAGUACGUGAACCCGCUGUUAAUGUCACUGGAAGAUUGCGUUUGACAUCACGCAUCCUGCGAGCUGCAUCCGUACAACAUGCAGUUUUGAUAACACACUUAGUCAUAUAACAAGUACCGAGCGGUUACAUUACUCUCCUAAAGCGUCAAUCAAUACUCCAGCUACCAGAAAAAAAACUAGUUAUCAUUGACAUAACCAAGUUAGUUGUUGCCAAGGUUACUGUUGUACAAGAGUGAUUUAUUUUUCUACUGUAGCUAAUGUUUUUAGUUAAUGGGACAUUUUGAACUUCCGUGUAGAAACAUCAUUUAGUGUUUGUAGUUGUUUUUGUUUCCGAAACAAAGAGACAAUUUUCCGUCCAAUUAAAAGCUAUACUAAAUUAUCAAACGGGAGCAAUAAUCCUAUACGGUGACGAUUCUAGCGAUUACGAUUCCGUUGUGGAUGAACUAAGUAUUCUUCAAUUACCUCCACCACCAUCAAAAAGUCUACUGCAGCACAUGUUUUGCCUUCCAUUGAACUAACCUACAAAAAUGUGUGUGAGAGGGAGAGAGAAAGAGUAUUUAAAAGAGCCGCGGACGCAGCCUCAGAGUGACCCGGUUAUUAUUAUUAUUUUUAUACGUUGAUGAUAUCUCUCGAUUUAUUCCCGUCUCUAUCGUAGUAUAUUUCCUCUUCUUCUAUCAUGGUUAUAAGUAUGAAACAGCUAAACUUACCUUUAGCAACAAAACAAAACAAAAAAAUGUAAAAACAACAGAGCUAGGACAGAGUCUAAUGCGAUAAUUUAGCGGUAGAGCUGCGUCAGGUUAAAACAGUUUCCAAUAGUUAAAGUUACUUAAUUGACGUUGUACUUAACGCAAUGCAACAACAAUGACAUUAUUAAACGCUAACACUUACGAACAAUAUAAGAACAAUUGCUAGGGACAUCAGCACACUAAAAAACAGCUAUCAGCAAGACUUGUUUGUGCAUCGCUGACGACGAAAAAAAAACUACUUAACUGAAAAAAAAUCAUCCAAAUGAAUUAGAGAGAAAAUGGUUACUUUUUUCGAAUGUGAAACCGACAAACUAUUCUAAUUAACAUAUAGCUCUAUAAUUAUACCAACAGCAAUGAUUAGAUGAACAAAUGAAAAUGAAAAAAAAACAAGCAGCGAAAAAUUCCUGACUAGACUAAUUGCACUGCGUUAACAGUUAGCGAAAAAAAUAAUUCAUUAACAAAAAGAACUCAGCGAAGGCAGAAAAAAUGGCAAAAUCUAAAUUGUAUAGUAUCAGAGUGAAGAAAAUCACAUUUAGCUAACGAAUACAAAACAAAGACGAGAUUUUAAAGUUUUAAAUCAAACAGUGAGGCAAAAAAAAAUAAUUAAUUGAUAGUAACAUGCUAAAACACAAAACCAAAACUGAACAGUAGCGAUGUUAGAUAAAUCAUUCAAAUUAUUCCAACCAAACUAAAAUGAAACAAAAAAACAAAAUGGCCACAUUGUCAAAAAAUGAGAAGUUUUUUAUAUGCAACACUUAAUUCAUUGAUUCAAUUAGUUACCGAAUUAAACAGAGAACGGUAGCGAGAUGAGAAAAUCGAACUAAACAAAACAAAAAAAAAUCUUGGCAAAAUAAUAGAUCACACAUUCUGGACUCAUCGUCGCAGUUUUUGUUUCAACCAAACAUUCCGGCCUCUUUCUGCUGACCUGCUAUCAGCAGGUAGCGGGUUGCGGAUCCCCAUGAACGCUCGAUUGUUGUCGCAAUGCGCAGUGAUCUCUAAGCUGUUGUAUUUAUUUGUUGUUUGUAUACGUUAAAGCACCAAGGGCCCGUAACAGACAGCAGUGUGGUAAACUGUGGGGAGAGAAAUAUUUCAGUUCAUUCCACGUCAGGAAUAAUUUAAUUUCUGUAUUAGUUAGCUGGUACUUAAAUACAUACGUAUAGUAUUAUGAUUUAGUUUGAGGCAACAGAAAAAAGACGAUACAUUGAAGUAUUAGGUAAGCAGUAUACAAAUAGAUCAUUCCCUUUAUUAAUGAGAAAAAGAAAUAGUAACAUUCGUUUAAGCAUU